UAUCCAGACUCCUACGGGAGGCAGCAGUGGGGAAUAUUGCACAAUGGGGGGAACCCUGAUCCAGCGACGCCGCGUGAGUGAAGAAGUAUCUCGGUAUGUAAAGCUCUAUCAGCAGGGAAGAAAGAAAUGACGGUACCUGAGUAAGAAGCCCCGGCUAACUACGUGCCAGCAGCCGCGGUAAUACGUAGGGGGCAAGCGUUAUCCGGAAUUACUGGGUGUAAAGGGAGCGUAGGCGGCGAUGCAAGUCAGAAGUGAAAGCCCGGGGCUCAACUCCGGGACUGCUUUUGAAACUGUGUUGCUAGAUUGCAGGAGAGGUAAGUGGAAUUCCUAGUGUAGCGGUGAAAUGCGUAGAUAUUAGGAGGAACACCAGUGGCGAAGGCGGCUUACUGGACUGUAAAUGACGCUGAGGCUCGAAAGCGUGGGGAGCAAACAGGAUUAGAUACCCCGGUAUA
rnacentral:rRNA from 1 species